rnacentral:tRNA from 1 species
GUUUUAAUAAUUUAAUAAAAAUAUUGAUUUUGUAAAUCAAAAAUAAGAAAUAAUCUUUUAAAACU